UUUUUAUAUUUAGAUGAUACACAAAUUGAAAACAAUUUAUUUUCAAUUAUUAAAUUUUAACACUUGCUAAUUAAGUACCAAUAUUUUAAUUCCAUUACAGCUCUUAAACAUUCACAAUUAUAAAUUUUUAGCCACUGAUGAAAAAUCAUGCAGGAAAAACUCUCUUGGAGAUGCAUUAUAGGCAAGAAAUUCAACCCAGCAAAAUAUAUGUCUGCACUAACUGGUACCAGAAAUAACAAUAAACAAUAAUCCUAAUUAUUCAAAAGAUUCAUGGUCGUAGUAAUAAACACCAAGAUAAAAUAUAUAGAAAACAUUAUUACUUGAAUUGGAUGCAAGCCAUUUUUGCAGC
rnacentral:misc_RNA from 1 species